AAGAAACUGGCUAGUUUGC
rnacentral:misc_RNA from 1 species